GGGGGGGGUGAGGGCGGUGAGAACAGGCUCAGGGAUCGCCUGAGCGCUUUGACCCACUUCCUGGUUGGCCUGAGGAAGGUAUUCCUCGAAAAGCCAGUUGAGGAUCUAGUGCGCAUAAAUGUGAUUCGCUGCAUGCGGCUUGUUUCAGGUGAAUGGAUCCCGGAUAAUCUUUAGUCUUUCUGUUGAGUUAUCUGUUAAAAAAAAAGGGGAAAAAAAGCUAGUUAGCACUUGUCUCUGGAGGUAAUGAGCACAUCAGUGCCACACUCACACAGUGUGCUGUUUGAACAAUGAACAGCAGGUGUGCGAUGAUGUGGUCUUGAUAACCUGCAGUAACCUGCGAACACCAGUAGAGGGAGGCAGUCUGCAAAUGACCACGGCCAGGACCCUGGAGCCGAACUCUGCGCUGCACCCUAUUUCUUACGGUCUCUGGUUGCACCACGGUACCUCGGUCUGCUAUAAUGGAGCUGUUGCGUUUUGGGUUUAAAGCGUAGGUUUGCAAUGAUGUACCCGUCUCUUAUACUUUAGAAUAUUCGUUUACUGGCUUUCGUUUCCUGGUGACGGUGAAGCCGUGUGUAAAUCUGAGGGCUGUGUUCUGUUCUGUGACCCCUCAGCAGACCGUGGCCUCUUAUUCCUCUUGUGCAGAUGCGCUGCUGGCAGAAAGCAGCCCUCAAGUCACGCCAUUCCAAGUUCUUUAUUUGUGAAGAAGCAAGUCCCAAAUGAAAGCCAUCCCAGGCCACGGUCCAAUCACACUCCAGCUGGUCACGUUCGUGCAACUGGAUAAACAGAGCCCCCUACUGCGUUGCGUACGCCGCUCCGUGCUGUUUCAUCAAUAACCCGUUUCUGAACCCAUCUUCGGAUUCCAUUUUCGGAUACCGUCGAGUCUCUUAAAAGCCAUUUACAAGCACAGGCUUUGAAGAGGCAAACCACCAUGACACUCCGUAAUCUCCAUGGAGGUGGCUAAUAACAAAACUGCCGGUGAAGCCCCACAGCUGUACACGCGGAUUCCUGAACGCAUACGAGAUAAAACCACUCCAGCGGCUAGCAAGAGCGUGAGCUAAGCAGACCGCGAUGUCCAGAUCGAGAGGGGUUCUGAGUUGGCGUUUCUGCGUUUUCAGUCUUCUAACACAACCCCCUUUUUGCCCAAACACUGGAAAGCAGAGACAUCUGAAUGUGAUCAAAUAAAUAAAUAAACAAACCCCCCCUA